CACGAAUCUAAUCACGUCCGAGAUCAGCAACCUUUGGACUUACAAACAAUCGAGCAGCAGAGACGCAGAUUCUCUACUGAGAUUCUUCUGCUGCUCUCGAAUCUAAAAAAAAAAUGCGAGCUUUUUUUUCAAGGGAAAUAGGUAAGGCAGCUCCCGAUCAAUGAGAUCGCCAGCUCGAAAAUCUCAAAGAGACGAAGAAGGAAGCUCAGAUUCGGAGGAUUUAAGAGAUUUAGACGAAGAAUUUUACAAGAAAAUGGAGUUUUAUGAUGUAGAGAGGGAGAGAUCAGAGAGAUGAUGAUGAUGAUGAUAUGAUUCAGCUCUCUCUGUGUUGUGUUUCUCUUUUGUUUCGGUCGAGAGAAGGAAGGAAGGAGAAGAUUGGAUCGAGAAACAAAGAGCCGACGCAUACCACAAUUUUCUAUUUUUUUUAUUUAUAUUUUUUAUAGGGGGAUUUACGGGAAAAAAAAAGAAAGAAGAAAUAAUAGUCUCGUGACAAUGAUUUAUACUUACAGCUGUCUGGACACUAAUGGAAUAGCUGCACUUUCUACAAUUUCUUACUCUUUCUUCCUUUUUCAACUGUAAUUAAAUCAAUUAUCUACAGAUGAACGGCUCAAUUUUAGCAAAAUUAUUAAUUACCAAAACACAUGUUUAGCUUAUCAGGGAAAAUGCUGACGCCAACACGAAAUUGAAUAUUAAUACUAUAUUCAGUGAUGAAAAUUGGUAGAUAGGGGGGGCAUGCAAUGCAAACACUCCUCCUGACCCAUUAAACCUUUUGAGACCGUAACGAUUACUAUCUCUCUCUUUUUUUUUAUGUUUUAACUUUUUUGUGCUUACCGUGUUUGCGUGUUAGCUUAUAUAUUGUAAAAUAAGAUUAUUCAAGAACCCCAUCGAAGAUUAGCAUAAAUAUUAACUAGUAUUUUAUAUUCUGAAUGGUCAAAUAGUUCUUUUAGCUUGUACAAUCUCUGUAUAUUUUCUUUAUGUAAACCUUUUAGCUUGUACAAUCUCUGAUUAGUCACACAAAAAAAGAGUGAAACAGUCACAAACCUAUACUUGUGAUUCCAUAUGCACGAGGCUGGGUACAACAACAGGUAGCAAAUUUCAUUACCGUGAUUACCUACUUACAAAAUCUAUUUUUUACUCCCUCAUCAGUACUUUUAUGCUUACGCAAUCUCUUUUUAAUCCACAGUGACGAGAGAAAAAUGAUAAAAAAAAGGUUUCUUGACAUUACUACAAGUGAAGAGGAUUGCCAAAAGAGUAGAGAACCAAGGGCACAACAAUCAGUCCUUGCAAUCUGUUACACCUUCUGUAGAUAUUUGAAAUCGAGCUUCUGCUUCAGGCAAGCAUGGCGAGCUUAUCACUUUGCAGAUUCUCUCCUCUGCUCUCCCUUUCCUCAAUGCCAGCCUGUGUUAUUGAUACAUCAUCAACAAACAUACACUUUGCCAAUGAACCCUAGAAAAGAACACAAGGAUUACAAUUUGCAGACCUUGUUGUGGUGGCAUGAGCCAUGAUAUUCCCACCAAUCGGCUUAAACUGUGGACCAGCAAAAAGAGCAGAACCAUCUACUUGCGCAACUACUUGGUUCGUUAUAACAACAGCCACACCAAACUAGAGAGCCAUUAAACAUGUGAGAGAAAGUUUCAGGAUGGUGUCUCAGAGGAAUUUAAACAGUUAAUACUAAUGAAUGGUCACCUCAUCUGCUAAUUUCUGUAGACUUCUCAAGAACUUUGCAAGAUGCAUUUGUCGAGCCGAAAGCUCUCCCCUUCCAGAGAAAUCUGUCCUGUAGAGAGCGGUAGCACUAUCCACAAUCAUAAGAGCAAACCUGCGACAUCACAAUUUAACAAUUAGCACUCUCAUCAUGAACAAUAAUGGAACUGAACAUCAAAAGGAAACUCUAACUCAACGCACCUUGUUUCAACCAUCAUUGAUGCUGCUUCAAGCAGAAGCCUCGACUGAUGAUCAGUAUUAUAAGCCCUCGCAUAGGCAACGUUUUCAAGUACAUCAGCUCCAUUUAGUCCAAACCUGCAUCAUUUUAAAUUGAUUUCUUACGGAAUAUUCUGCCUCAAGAAACUCCAUCAUGCUCUCACGUGUUACAAAGAUAACAUACCUGUCAGCUAUCUGCAAUAGUCUUUGCGGCCUGAAUGUUCCCUCGGCAUCAAUGUACAUCGCCUUUCCCUCUCCACCCCCUUGAUCCAUAGGAAGCUAAUCAUUUAAACACAAACCUCAAUGUGAAUACAUUUCUCAAUUUUAAGUUCACUGGUUCCUACAAGAUAAGUAAUAAUAGCCGAGUGGUAUGCUCAGGAAAAGGUUCUUACUUGACAAGUUACACACAGUGUAUGGCACAACUGAGUCUUCCCGGAGCGGAACUCACCAUACAACUCAGUGAUGGAUCCGGUUUCAAUUCCUCCUAUUGACAGUACAGACUAAGUAAGUCAUAAUAGCAAAAUGACCUUUCAAGACCAAAAAUCAGAAACCAACCUUCAAGAACUUUGUCUAGUUCGCGGGAGCCAGAGGUAAUCUGAAUGAUCUCCUGUCUCUGAGCAUGGAGCUGGCUAGCACUAGUGAAUCCCAAAGGAACCAGCUUUGAAGCUGUCACAGAGGUAAAACACACACAAAUAAGAAAAUGCAUAAACUCCAACAAGGAUCAAAGGCAUAACUUUGACAAAAAAAAACACAUACCAAUGAUACCAUAACAGACAGCAACACGUUUCAGUCCGCCUGUGGCCUUGUUUCCUUCGUGUAUCCGUUUAAGCAACUCGUAGCAUUCUUUUUUGGUAUAAGCAGUAGAGUCCUCACUGACAUUAAGCUCAGACGCACCAAGCCGGUCUAUCUUUAGCACUCUAUACACUCCACUACCAUUCCAACCAAUCAUAUAGAAAUUCUGAAAAAAAAAAACAAAAAAGAAGAUCAUGUUAGUAAAAUGAUCUAAAGGGAACCAAUAAUACAAAUGAUCCUUGGGAAUCAAAAGGUGGAAGCUUUGGUUACCGAAUGAGUCUGGAAGAGCUUGAACUCUUGCAUACAGCCAUGAAGGGAAGAUGAUCCAGAGGAGGAGGAUGAGCCUCCUCCAUUCUCCAUUGAUGAGGAUGAGGUGGUCAUAGCUGAUUCCCAAAUUAACUCUUUUCCUUUCGACAGUGACCUUUUGACUUACAGAUCUAAGCCAAAGCCGCCGCAACAAACAAUCUCUCUCGCCGGAACAUUCACCAAUUUUGAAACUUUCUCAGAGGAGAAAGAAAGAAAGAAACAAACCAAAUAAAAAAGAUGCUCUUAAACACUCACAACACGAAUCUAAUCACGUCCGAGAUCAGCAACCUUUGGACUUACAAACAAUCGAGCAGCAGAGACGCAGAUUCUCUACUGAGAUUCUUCUGCUGCUCUCGAAUCUAAAAAAAAAAUGCGAGCUUUUUUUUCAAGGGAAAUAGGUAAGGCAGCUCCCGAUCAAUGAGAUCGCCAGCUCGAAAAUCUCAAAGAGACGAAGAAGGAAGCUCAGAUUCGGAGGAUUUAAGAGAUUUAGACGAAGAAUUUUACAAGAAAAUGGAGUUUUAUGAUGUAGAGAGGGAGAGAUC
rnacentral:lncRNA from 1 species